rnacentral:rRNA from 1 species
UCUCCUGGAAACGGGUGGUAAUGCCGGAUGUUCCACAUGAGCGCAUGCGAGUGUGGGAAAGGCUUUUUGCGGCAUGGGAUGGGGUCGCGUCCUAUCAGCUUGUUGGUGGGGUAACGGCCUACCAAGGCGUUGACGGGUAGCCGGCCUGAGAGGGCGACCGGCCACAUUGGGACUGAGAUACGGCCCAGACUCCUACGGGAGGCAGCAGUGGGGAAUAUUGCACAAUGGGCGCAAGCCUGAUGCAGCGACGCCGCGUGCGGGAUGGAGGCCUUCGGGUUGUAAACCGCUUUUGUUCAAGGGCAAGGCACGGUUUCGGCCGUGUUGAGUGGAUUGUUCGAAUAAGCACCGGCUAACUACGUGCCAGCAGCCGCGGUAAUACGUAGGGUGCAAGCGUUAUCCGGAUUUAUUGGGCGUAAAGGGCUCGUAGGCGGUUCGUCGCGUCCGGUGUGAAAGUCCAUCGCUUAACGGUGGAUCCGCGCCGGGUACGGGCAGGCUUGAGUGCGGUAGGGGAGACUGGAAUUCCCGGUGUAACGGUGGAAUGUGUAGAUAUCGGGAAGAACACCA